CUCCGGUCGGUCCGGGGCCCGACCCGGAAGCCGCCGCGCGGGCUGCGCUCGCCUCUCGCCGGGGAAACUCCGGGCCACCCGAGUCCUUGGGCCCGCCGCGGCCUCCUUCCCCGGGCCCCACGGGCCCAUGGGUCUCCAUGACGACGGCAGGGGCCCGGCCGGGGGGCGGGCAGCCCGGGUGGGGCCGCGGCGCUCCGGGGGCCUCCGCGGCGGCCUGGCCGUGUUCGCCGCCGUGGCCGCCGUGUUCACCCUCACGCUGCCCCCCUCGGUGCCGGGGGGAGACUCGGGGGAACUGAUCACAGCCGCACAUGAGCUUGGAGUUGCCCAUCCUCCUGGCUAUCCUUUGUUCACUCUGGUGGCUAAACUGGCAAUUAUACUAUUUCCUUUCGGUUCAGUUGCCUACCGAGUCAAUCUUCUGUGUGGCUUAUUUGGAGCAGUAGCUGCAGCAUUACUUUUUUUCACCGUUUUCAGGCUUUCUGGCUCCCAUGCUGGAGGAAUCCUUGCUGCGGGGGUGUUUUCAUUCUCUCGUCUAACAUGGCACUGGUCCAUUGCAGCAGAGGUUUUCAGCUUAAACAAUCUGUUUGUGGGGCUGCUUAUGGCUCUUACUGUACAUUUUGAGGAGGCAGCAACCGCCAAAGAAAGAUCAAAGAUAGCUAAAAUUGGUGCUUUCUGCUGUGGCCUUAGCUUAUGUAAUCAGCACACAAUAGUACUCUAUAUUUUGUGCAUAAUUCCAUGGAUUCUCUUCCGACUUUUCAAAGAGAAGGAACUCUCCCUGGGCUCUUUGUUGAAGCUGAGUCUGUGCUUCGGUGCUGGCUUGUUGCCCUAUGUCUACCUUCCUGUCUCGUCCUACCUCAAUCAAGCCCGUUGGACCUGGGGAGACCAGACAACAUUGCUAGGAUUUUUGACGCAUUUUCUCAGGGAAGAAUAUGGAACAUUCAGUCUGGCCAAAUCUGAAAUAGGAUCCAGUAUGUCUGAAAUUUUGCUUUCUCAAGUAACAAGUAUGAGGACCCAACUCUCAUUCAACAUUCAAGCCCUCGCAGUUUGGGCAAAUAUAUCUUUAGCAAGAAAGGACAGACAGAACCCAUCAUCAGUAUGGCUUUUUACUGGAAUGUUUUGCAUUUAUUCAUUGUUCUUCGCUUGGAGGGCGAAUUUAGAUAUUUCAAAACCACUUUUCAUGGGUGUGGUAGAAAGAUUCUGGAUGCAGAGCAACGCUGUGGUGGCCGUGCUCGCUGGCGUCGGCUUGGCCGCGCUAGUUUCUGAGAGCAACCGAGUGCUGAACACCAGUGGGCUUCAGUGUCUGGAGUGGCUUUCAGCAACGCUUUUUAUAAUGUACCAAAUAUAUUCUAAUUUCAGCAUUUGUGACCAAAGGACCAACUAUGUUAUUGAUAAAUUUGCAAAGAACCUUCUAGCCUCUAUGCCUCAUGAUGCAAUUAUCUUACUCAGAGGAGAUUUGCCAGGGAAUUCUCUCCGUUACAUGCAUUAUUGCGAGGGACUGAGGCCAGAUAUUUCACUAGUGGAUCAGGAAAUGAUGACUUAUGAGUGGUAUUUACCCAAGAUGGCAAAGCACUUACCAGGUGUCAGCUUUCCUGGAAACCGGUGGAAUCCUGUGGAAGGAAUGUUACCUAGUGGAAUGGUCACAUUUAAUCUUUAUCAUUUUCUUGAAAUAAAUAAACAGAAGAAAACAUUUGUUUGCAUAGGAAUUCAUGAAGGUGACCCAACCUGGAAAAAGAACUAUUCACUUUGGCCUUGGGGUUCUUGUGACAAAUUAGUUCCUUCGGAGAUUGUAUUCAACCCUGAGGAAUGGAUUAAACUCACAAGAAAUAUCUAUAACUGGACCGAAGAAUAUGGAAGGUUUGACCCAUCUUCUUGGGAAUCUGUGGCCAACGAAGAGAUGUGGCAAGCAAGGAUGAAAACCCCGUUCUUCAUCUUUAACCUGGCAGAAACAGCAAACGUCCCUCCAAAUGUGAAGGCUCAACUCUACACUCACGCAUAUAACCACCCACUUGUCACACAACUAACGUGGGGUUGACCCGUUAUGGCUGGGCGCUUAGUGGAAACCUGGCAGUCUUGCCCCCGAGGAGUUUCCAGCUGAGGACUAGAAACAGGGUGGCUCUGAGACACAGGGAAUGUGCCCUGUCAUGGGCAUGAGGAGACUGGGAUUCUGGUCCCGACUCCUUCAUCAUAGCAUGAGAGCUGUGAAUUCUGUUCAACACUAUCCUUGGGGCUAAUGCGCACAUCAGAUACAGUGCAGGUAAAAGCGUCUUUAAAAAGAGAUAAUCCCUUGUUUUCAAGACGUGGACACUACUGUUGGGAGAGGUGAAACCAAUGAUUCUGUGGCAGAGCAAGGACAAGGGUCCGUGAUCCCUCUGUCCAAUGCUCUUUCCACCUACUCCUCUUCGAAGGAUGCCUCUACCAGCACCCCAGGUCCUCAGAAACUUUUUGAUGCCAUCGAUAAGGAGGUGACUGACUCAUUCCUCACGCAUCAGUAAAGGUGAUCGCACACUUUUCUGGAAGCCUGAAGCCAUGCCUCCAAACUCGAUUCUUCCGGAUUGUAGGAAACACACUCCGUGGCUGAUUCGUCCUCCGCUCCUCUGGCUUUGCAUCCAUCAGUCUUUCUUCACAAGGCUUCACUUUUCAGAACCAGGUUCCCGGAGGUUAUAGAUUCGCAACAAAGAAAGCAGAACUGAGCAUUCUCGCAGAGUUCCUGAUGUUAUUUGAACUAACAACGACAGCCACAGAAACCCUACCGUUUGUCCAAAGUAGCAUCCAAAUGACAGAGACUAACAGAAUAUUGAUUCUGCUUCACAAGAAGGAGGUGAAAGGCACCAAAAGCAGAAGUGUUUGCUAGUGUUCAUUGCUUGCCACUUACCGUGGCAAAUAUUGGACGAUAGAAAACUUGCCUCCACUCUCUGCACCUCAGUUAAUUCAUCUGUGAAGUGGACGUAACAGUAGCAUCUAUUGCAAGAGGUUGUUAAAAAGCAAACAAGACAGAACAGAGAACCGAGAAACAGACUCACGCAGAUACGCCCAAUGGAAUUUUGACAUGGUUGCGGAAGAAACUGAACAGAGGAAAAUGGCUUUUUCAAGUUUCCGGUGCUGAAGCGAUUGGACAUCCUUUGGGUGUGGGGCCCCGGGCGGUGGGGGAAGACCUCCCUUUGUCUUGCAUCAUAUACAAAAAUGCACUCAAAACAGAUUGUGGCCUUAAGUGGAAAAUGGAAAGCUAUAAAACCUUUAGAAACAAACAUAAGGAAAAAAAGCUUGAGGAUCUAGGGCUAGCAAGUUCUUACAGCUGACACCAAAAGCAUGACCCAUAGAAGGAAAAAUAGAUAAAUUGGACUUUAUCAACAUUGAAAAGUUUGCUCUGCAAAAGCAAAACAAAAAAGCCCGUGAACACAAUGAAAAACAAAGCUACAGACUGGGAAAAAAUAUCUCAAGGUGUGUACUAAUAAAGACUAGUAAUCUACAAUAUAUAAAACUCAAAACUCAAGAGUAAAAAAAAAAUCCAAUGGAAAAUGAGCAAAAGCUGUGAAGAGACAUUUCAUCCCAAAGUAGGUAGAAACUGUAAGAAGCACAUGAAAAUAUGUUCAACCUCAUUAGGGAAAUGUAAAAUAAAACUACAAUGAAACAUGGGUACACACCUAGCAGAAAGACUAACAUAAAAAAUAGUGACAAACCCAAUGUGGGUGAGGACGUGGAAAAACUAGAUCGCUCGUGCAUUCGUCGUGGGAACGUAAAACAGUCUGGCAAUUGCUUAAGAAAUUAAACGUGCAACAAUCAUACAACCCAAUAAUUACUCCUGGGCAUUUAUCCCAGAGAAAUGAAGACUGACAUUCACACACAAACCUGUACAGGAAUGUUUACAGAAGCUUUAUUUCUAACAGCCAAAAGGAAACCACCCAGAUAUCCUUUACCAGGUGAGUGGGUAAAAAAAAUGGCACAUCCAUACCACGGGAUGGUCCUCAGCACUAAAGGAGCAUGAACUACUGACACGUGAAACGAUCUGGAUGAAUCUCCAUAAAAUUAUGCUGAGUGGGGGGAAAAAAACCCACAAAAGAUUCUGUGCUGCAUAAUUCCAUUCAUAUUAAUGACAAAUGUAUAGAAAUGGAGAACAGACUAGUGGCUGCUAGGGGUUACGGAGAAGAGGGGGUGAGAGGGAAGUAGGUGUGUCUAUAGAAGGACAACACGAGGGACCCAGGGGUGAUGGAAAUACUGUGUAUCUUGACCGUAUCACUGUCAGUAUCCUGGUUCUGACAUUGCUCUUGUAAGAUAUGACUGCUGGGAGAAACUGGAUAAAGGAUGCCCAGGCUCUCUCUUAUUUCAGACAUUGACGUGUGAAUCUACAAUCAUCUCAAACUAAAAAGUUUCAUUGAAAUAAUCAAAUGAGUUAAUAUCCAUGACAGACGCAUAGUAAGUCUUUAGUACCUCUUAGCUGUUACUAAUUGCACUUUCCUGCAGUCACUUGGUACAACUUCCGUUUUGUCCAUCUGUCCCUUCUGAAAUACCAUGCAGCAAUGGUACAGCGGUGACACAGUGGCAGCUGGAGUCACCCUCAACUUCUCACCCCAACUCUGAUAGUCAUGAAUCAGCCGUGUGACAUUAGGCGAGAUAAAAAUCUUUCUCCUGCCUUCUUUUCUUCAGAAAUGAGGAUACUAAAUCCCCCUCUACCCCUCAUCACGGGGCGUUUAGGUUUGUUUGCUUGUUUAAGAAUCAAAUAGAUGAUGUACAGGGAGGGAGGAAGCUUUGAAAACUGUUAAGUGCUACCAAAAUGCUACGCAUUGCACAUACGCUUAUUAAAUACCUCGUACUCCUCUACUACCGCUAUUACUAAUAAAUAUGACCAUUUACUCGCUUGAAACCCUAGUUGGAAUUUGGCAUGCAAAUUUCCUGAGUGUUGCUCAUUUGCAUUGGAAAAAAGGAAAGAGGUGGGAGGCCUUUUGAAGCCUUUUGAAAAUUGAGCUCAGGGGGGGAUGAAUUCUUAUCACUGGGCCCAAGGUAUAAUUGAUUUUCUACACAAUGGCUCACAGGUGCUACAUUUAACACCCUGAGUAGUAGGAGGAAGGAAAUGUAUCCCAAGGUGCAGCUUUAACUUAAAAUAUCUCCAGAGUCAGCACCUCCACUCGGAAAGGCUGAGGAGCCUGGGGGCUGGGGUACCCCACCUUUCCUCCAGUUGUCUGAAUGCGCUGAGGGAGACACCUGCUCCUCACUUACUUCUCACCCCACUCAGAGAAUUGGGCCUCAGGUUUCUUAUUUUCAGUGGCCAGAUGCCAACAGCCCCUCUUUUCAGGCCUGGCUCACGAGGUUAGGGAAGAACACAGGGCAAGCCCACCAUGAAAUACAUAUUAAUAUUAUAACAACCCUUUCAGAAUUCACUGUUGCUAUGUCAACAAAGCAGCUGGGGAAAUUGGGUCUUUGGGAAAUUGGGAAAUGAGGUCGGCUUUGGCAACAUGGCAAAUGUUUCCUUCUCUCAGAACAAUUGGUCUGUGACACCAGCCAGCCUUUUUCUACCUACCCUUUCUCCUGCUUAUUUGUGGGAAACUGAGAAGCAAAACAGUGGUCAUUAAGAUUUGGGGUUAGGGAGCUUCUGCGUCAUGGAAAAAGUGACAGAAAUAAAAAUUAUUUCCCUCUCCCCCUCGUCGCCUGUUUAUGUCAGUUUCUCGGUCCCAACUUGGACGCCACCGGACUGAACGUGGAUGCUGUACCCAGCUCUGUGACUUUAGAUGAAUUACUGACCUCAUCGCAGUCUCAAUUACCUCGUCUUAUGAAACAAAGGUAUAUUCGUAAGACCCGCCACACAAUUUGUGGGGCUCAAUACAAGGUAAAAAUGCACGGCCCCCUGUUCAAAAAUUAAGGAUUUCAAGAUGGCGACAGCAGAACAUUAAACCAAGCACAGUGCCUUUGUAAGGACAGGCCUCGUGUGAAGGCCCAGGUCUCAGACCCAUGAAGCUGGCCCUAUGUAUCAGUUAUGACUCCAGGCUGACAAAUGAGAGAAGUCAAGUCACACUCAUUCCUCAGAAAGAUAACUUAACAGAUGGUUACCGUGGUGUCGUGGAAGCCAAAGGAGAGUUGAACAAAUGAGGGGCCAUCCCCCAGCCUGGUGGAAAAGCAGAGCCCAGGCACCUCCUGAGUUUUCUGUGCCACAGCUUCAGCCACCAGAGAGACUCGCUGACUUGCUCCCGUGGUCUCCUGGAUUAAGUGAGGUGCCCACUGUAGACCAAUCAACCCUGAAUGGGGGCCCCGGUAAAUUUCAGAGUAGAAAUUUACCAGAGUAGAGGGCCAGCAGGUAAUCCCACAGCUGCCCUUGGUGUUAUGUAAGAACAAAGAUAGCAGAUUUCACCUCACUGCUGCCGCAGGUCUAUUGGUUAGCAGCUGCCUAGACAGCGGGGUAGACAAGGUGCCUGGGGCCACACUGGAGUGUCUCGAAGGCAGGCCAUCAUGCUGUCUCCCAUGAUGCCGUCUCCCAUGAUGAUGAUGCUGGGCUGGAGGGUCGGCCCAGGUGCAUGCACGUGCCAACUGUGGACAAGAUUCCGUGAGCUCAAAGUUUUCUUACAGCCCUCACAUUCUCGAGUAUUUCCUCUCUGCUCCUGCUCAUCCCCAAAAUCAACUUUCAGGAAGCCUUCAUGUGUAGGGAUAAUUUAUUUCAUUCAAUAGAUGUCGGUGAAAUGUGAUUAAAUCUUUUAAAAUUAAAUGGAUGUAUCUGGAAUACACGAGAGAAAUGCUCUAGCUUAAGCAAUUCUGAAGUGAAUCCUUUGGUAAAGCAGACUCUUAUUUAAAUUGAAUAGCCACUUAGCUCCUUAGCAAAUCUGAAUUUUUAUGUAGAGUGCUUUGCUUAAGAUAGAGAGACUGAGGAUCUGGCUUGGAAAGACAACCACUGAGAAGGUGAUGGGUCUGCAGCUUGCAGAAAAAGGUAUAACAGCCCUCAGUCUAUCCCACUCCCACCUAGAUGUCAGUGGAGAAUUUCCCUUCAUCUGGACCUUUUGGGUGGCUUGUCCCCUUUAAGGAUGCCUGAGUGUUUAUUCUAGCAUGAGUCCACCUGUAGGGUAGGGGUUUUUGUUGUUAUUUUUUUGGUAGGAUUGUUACGGAAACUGGUCUGGAUCACCCGGCCGAAGAACCAAGCGGCACUCGGAGAUCUUGGAAGGCAGGAGGUUUAUUUUACCCUGGCAGGCUCAGAGGAGAUCAUUCUCCGGAGGUCUGAGCCCAGAGCAUCAACAGAGGGGACAAUUUAUAGUCUGUUACUCCUGCAUCCCUCAAGAGUAGUAAUUGGGCGCCUGAGGCAAGCAGGGUGGGAAGAACCGGAAGGGAGGUCUUCAGGCAGGGACUGAAAUUCCCUUAUCAGUCCCGUCUGCCAUCAUAUAACGGAUUUUUCCCUAACAGGACAAGGAGGGGACAAAUCAGAGUGACAGAGCUUUAGACCAGUGCUGUCCACUGUGGUAGCCACCAGCCACCUGUAGCUGUUGAGCACUCGAGACGAGGCAGGACUGAACCAGACUGAGUCAGGAUGGUCUGUAUGUGUCUACACACUGGAUUUUGAAGACACCAUAUGAAAAAAGAACGUAAAAUAUCUCAAUUUUAUUAUUUAGUGAUUACAUGUUGAAAUGAUCACUUCUUCAUAUACCAGGGCAAAUAAAUCGUAUUCUACUUUUUUUAAGUUUUGUUUAUUUAUUUUGGGGAAGGAGGGACACAGAGAGAAGGAGGGAGAGAGAAGCCCAAGCAGGCUCUGCCCUGACAGCGUGGAGCCCAACUUGGGGCUCGAGCUCACCAGCCGUGAGAUCAUGACCUGAGCCAAAAACAAGAGUUGGACGCUUAACCAACUGAGUCACCCAGGGACCUCAAUAAAACGUAUUAUUGAUUUAACCUGU